rnacentral:rRNA from 1 species
GAUGAACGCUGGCGGCGUGCCUAAUACAUGCAAGUCGAGCGAACAGAUGAGGAGCUUGCUCCUCUGACGUUAGCGGCGGACGGGUGAGUAACACGUGGAUAACCUACCUAUAAGACUGAUAUAACUUCGGGAAACCGGAGCUAAUCCCGGAUAAUCUAUUGAACCGCGUGGUUCGAUAGUGAAAGACGGUUUUGCUGGCACUUAUAGCUGCAUCUGCGCCGCAUGAGCUAGUUGGUGAGGUAACGGCUUACCAAGGCAAGGAUGCGUAGGCGACCUGAGAGGGGGAUCGGCCACACUGGAACUGAGACACGGUCCAGACUCCUACGGGAGGCAGCAGUAGGGAAUCUGCCGCAGUGGGCGAAAGCCUGACGGAGCAACGCGGCGUGAGUGAUGAAGGUCUUCGGAUCGUAAUACUCGGUUAUGAGGGAAGAACAAAUGUGUAAGUAACUAUGCACGUCUUGACGGUACCUAAUCAGAAAGCCACGGCUAACUACGUG